AAGCAAGAUUUAGACUAGAAUAUAGCUAUUAAUGCUAUGUUGUUCUUCCCACUGCUGAAAUCAAAGUGCUUUGCUACACCUGUUUGGUUGAUUCUAUAGCAACCAGGGAAUCUUGGUCUUAUACAU
rnacentral:snoRNA from 1 species